GGGUGCUCGAGUGGCGAACGGGUGAGUAACACGUGAGUAACCUGCCCUUAACUUUGAGAUAACUUCAGGAAACUGGGGCUAAUACCGGAUAGGAGCUCCUGCUGCAUGGUGGGGGUUGGAAAGUUUCGGCGGUUGGGGAUGGACUCGCGGCUUAUCAGCUUGUUGGUGGGGUAGUGGCUUACCAAGGCUUUGACGGGUAGCCGGCCUGAGAGGGUGACCGGCCACAUUGGGACUGAGAUACGGCCCAG
rnacentral:rRNA from 1 species